rnacentral:rRNA from 1 species
CCUACGGGUGGCAGCAGUGGGGAAUAUUGCACAAUGGGGGGAACCCUGAUGCAGCGACGCCGCGUGAGUGAAGAAGUAUUUCGGUAUGUAAAGCUCUAUCAGCAGGGAAGAAAAUGACGGUACCUGACUAAGAAGCCCCGGCUAACUACGUGCCAGCAGCCGCGGUAAUACGUAGGGGGCAAGCGUUAUCCGGAUUUACUGGGUGUAAAGGGAGCGUAGACGGUUAUGCAAGUCUGAAGUGAAAGCCCAAGGCUCAACCAUGGGACUGCUUUGGAAACUGUAAAACUGGAGUGCAGGAGAGGUAAGCGGAAUUCCUAGUGUAGCGGUGAAAUGCGUAGAUAUUAGGAGGAACUCCGAUUGCGAAGGCAGCCUACUAAACUGCCACUGACAUUGAUGCUCGAAAGUGUGGGUAUCAAACAGGAUUAGAUACCCCGGUAGUC